GACAAACUUAUUGGUGUUCACUGCACCCAUGGGUUAAACAGGGCUGGCUACCUCAUUUGCAGUGUACCCAGGUCAAGUGGUUUUGAAGACUCAGCACAUUUCAUGCAGCCAGUCCACCCCAUGAAUUAGCCUGUUAAACAAAGCCCUAGGUGUAAUCUACAUGGGAUCCAGGGUCACUCAACUCCUCGGCAUUUCCACGCUCAGACCCCACAUUUGCAACAGUGAGUCAGAAUGUUUUCACAGAAUCCAAAUGUUUACCAGAGAGGCCAUAUCCCUCUUCCUGGUCCCUCUGAAGAAGAUUAUUCACACAGGAGGUACACUUGGAAUGUGAAGCCAAGUGCCAGUUGAGCAGCCCAGGAGAGAAGGAGGUGGUAUCCUGACAAUUACUGCGAACGAUCCUAUCCAGCCUAUUGGAAAUGGACUCUGUGAUACAAACCUGGCCUGGAAUUCUACCUGGUGACCAGAGCUGGCUUGAAGAUCGCUGGUGAUCAGAUCUAAUGAGGUUUCUUUAUUGUUUCCUUUUGUGUUUAAGCUUAAGGAAAAAUUAUAUUGCUGUUUACCUCACUAGGAAAGUGGCACAGUGUUACUGGCUUGUGUGUGGUUGUGAAGGUGAACUGAAAUAGUGCAUCUCAGUGGCCCGUGCAUAGGUGUUGAGUCAACGGUGAUCUAUACUCCAGGGUCUUUUCUGGGUCAGCUUCAGGCUGCUGCAAUUCACUUGGCUGGGUCCCAGGUUUUUAGCUGCACCUAUAACUGUGAGCCCUUCCCCUGGUGGUAGAUUGCCCUGUUUUGUACUGACCUUUCCCAACUGUGAUCAUAUAUGUAUAAGGUAACCCAAAGCUGUUGGAGAUGAGUCCUGAA